UGCCAGACUCCUACGGGAGGCAGCAGUGGGGAAUAUUGCACAAUGGGGGGAACCCUGAUGCAGCGACGCCGCGUGGGUGAAGGAGUAUUUCGGUAUGUAAAGCCCUCUCAGCAGGGAAGAACAAUGACGGUACCUGACUAAGAAGCACCGGCUAAAUACGUGCCAGCAGCCGCGGUAAUACGUAUGGUGCAAGCGUUAUCCGGAUUUACUGGGUGUAAAGGGGGCGCAGACGGCGAUGCAAGCCAGGAGUGAAAGCCCGGGGCCCAACCCCGGGACUGCUCUUGGAACUGCGUGGCUGGAGUACAGGAGGGGCAGGCGGAAUUCCUGGUGUAGCGGUGAAAUGCGUAGAUAUCAGGAGGAACACCGGCGGCGAAGGCGGCCUGCUGGACCGUGACUGACGUUGAGGCUCGAGAGCGUGGGGAGCAAACAGGAUUAGAUACCCGAGUAC
rnacentral:rRNA from 1 species